rnacentral:rRNA from 1 species
CUGGAGAGGGAAGCGGAAUUCCUAGUGUAACGGUGAAAUGCGUAGAUAUUAGGAGGAACACCAAGUGGCGAAGNCGGCUUCCUGGACAGAGACUGACACUGAGGCGCGAAAGCGUGGGGAGCGAACAGGAUUAGAUACCCUGGUAGUCCACGCUGUAAACGAUGGAUACUAGGUGUAGGUGGUAAGAAGCCAUCUGUGCCGGAGUAAACACAAUAAGUAUCCCACCUGGGGAGUACAGCCGCAAGGUUGAAACUCAAAGGAAUUGACGGGGGCCCGCACAAGCAGUGGAGUAUGUGGUUUAAUUCGAAGCAACGCGAAGUACCUUACCAGGGCUUGACAUCCCUUGAACUAUCUAGAGAUAGGUAGGGCCUACGGGACAAGGAGACAGGUGGUGCAUGGUUGUCGUCAGCUCGUGUCGUGAGAUGUUGGGUUAAGUCCCGCAACGAGCGCAACCCUUAUAGCUAGUUGCCAGCAAUAAGAUGGGGACUCUAGCGAGACAGCCGUUGAGAAAACGGAGGAAGGAAAGGAUGACGUCAAAUCAUCAUGCCCCUUAUGCUCUGGGCUACACACGUACUACAAUGGCUACUACAGAGGGAAGCGAAGCCAGGAGGCGGAGCAAAUCUCAAAAAGGUAGUCCCAGUUCAGAUUGUAGGCUGAAACUCGCCUGCAUGAAGUAGGAAUUGCUAGUAAUUGCAGGUCAGAAUACUGCAGUGAAUACGUUCCCGGGCAUUGUACACACCGCCCGUCACACCAUGAGAGUCUGCAACACCCGAAGUCAGUAGUUUAACCGAAAGGAGACACUGCCGAAGGUGGGGUNAGGUGAUUGGGGUGAAG